CAUUGAAACACCGGUUCUCGUCCGACCAAGUUAAGCAACGUUGAGACUGGUCCGUACCUAGAUGGGUGACCGCUUGGAAAUACCAGGUGCUGUAA